GGGGGGAGGCGGCGGCGGCGGCACCGGGCCGGGCCGGGCCGGGCCGGGCCGGGGCGAUGGCGUCGGGCCGCGCCGCGCAGGUGCUGCUCCGCCGCCCCGCUCCUGGCUAACCAGCACCAGUUCUUCAGUGGCAAGCUUUAUGUCCUUCUCUAGUAGCUAAAGCUGCCAGUUGAAGAACUGUUGAAUGUAGCCACUCUCUUCUCGUCACCGGGACCUUUGGAUCUCAGCCGGAGCCGUGCCCCGAGCGACCGGGAGGAGCCAUUCUGCAGCAGCCUGUGGAUUUGAGGGCUGAGGAUGAGCCUGACCGGGAUGAAGAAAUCUCCUCGCCGCCUCCAGACAGAGCUAUGGCUGGGGGAUUGCCUGGCAGCCCUGCCAGCGGGGCUGUCGAGCGGGGUCGUUGCCCGCCCUGCUGGUAGGGUGGCAUUUAGCUGAAAGACUGAAAGAGGCAUUAAACUUUCUGUUUUGCUCAA